rnacentral:rRNA from 1 species
AAAGCUAGCUCAACAUACUAAACAAAUACAAAAAUACACCAAAAUAAAAUAAAACAUUCACCUAACAUUAAAGUAUAGGAGAUAGAAAUUUUUAUCCUGACGCUAUAGAGAUAGUACCGUAAGGGAAAGAUGAAAGAAUAAAAUAAAAGUAAAAAAAAGCAAAGAUUACCCCUUCUACCUUUUGCAUAAUGGUUUAACCAGAAAAAAUCUAACAAAGAGAACUUUAGCUAGAUACCCCGAAACCAGACGAGCUACCCAUGAGCAGUUUAAAAGAACCAACUCAUCUAUGUGGCAAAAUAGUGAGAAGACUUGUAGGUAGAGGUGAAAAGCCUAACGAGCCUGGUGAUAGCUGGUUGUCCGAGAAAGAAUUUUAGUUCAACCUUAAAAAUACCCCAAAAACCCUAAAUUCCAAUGUAUUUUUAAGAGAUAGUCUAAAAAGGUACAGCUUUUUAGAAACGGAUACAACCUUGACUAGAGAGUAAAAUCUUAAUACUACCAUAGUAGGCCUAAAAGCAGCCAUCAAUUGAGAAAGCGUUAAAGCUCAACAAAUUCACCAACAUAAUCCCAAAAACUAAUAACAAACUCCUAGCCCAAUACCGGACUAAUCUAUUGAAACAUAGAAGCAAUAAUGUUAAUAUGAGUAACAAGAAGCCUUUCUCCUCGCACACGCUUACAUCAGUAACUAAUAAUAUACUGAUAAUUAACAACCAAUAAACCAAAACAACACUAAAACGUUUAUUAAUUACAUUGUUAACCCAACACAGGAGUGCACCAAGGAAAGAUUAAAAGAAGUAAAAGGAACUCGGCAAA